CUGGACUACAAGACCUUGGUACUUCUUUUGGUGAAGAAGAUGAAUGCUUCAUUCAUGUUAGGUGGUAGAGGUGUCAGUGUCGAGUUCUGUUUCAUCUGCAAUGCUAUCAGGGGUUGCAAAUGCCAUGAUGUUGCUCCAGAUGAGACAUGCCUGGAUUGCCUCAGAAGCAAAUGCAACAUGGGAAGGUCCAACAGAUCAGGAAAUCCUUCAACACCUUGAAGAAAUUGUAGAACUUGCCCUACCACUGGAUAAAUUCAAGAAGCCGUAUGAAGAUGUGAACACGGCAAAAAAUUUGAUCCUUAACAGAGUUACAUUUUACCAGGCUCGUGUUGAUGUUAGUAAGAAGCAACUAUUAUUUUUAUACUUGCAACUUGAUUUAACAUCAUGUAGUCAAGAUCAUUGGUAAUGUGUAUUCAUUGAGUUCAUACAGCGUCCAGACGAUCCGUCGGAGUGCGCUUUAGGAAUCAAAUACCUCUUACUUUUCAGGAGCUUUAAGCAAGGGCACUUUUGUAAGAGAUUUUGGUACACAUACUGAGAUAAUUGAUUUGGAAGGCUCAGAUAUUAAAGCUGACAUGGAGCCUCGCCUUGUUCAGUGGCAAGGCAAGUUGGAUGAGCUACAUGUCUUUUUCAAGAAGUUGUGCAAGUUACGAAAAAAGGCACUAUUCACUAUUGUUUUUCUUGCGUUAGAUCUGCUUUUUUCGAUUCGAUUGCACCUUGACUAUUUUUGUACCGCUACUCCUCUUGCGUUAUAUUUAUUUAAAUGAGCAAUUUUUAAAAGACAGAAAAUGUCCUUCUUUCAAUAACGUGGCGGAAUAAAACAAUUACACAAAGAUGUUACUAUGAUACUUUUUGGUACGAAAUAUUUUAUUUUUGACCAGCACUGUUAUGCCUAAUUUUGUCCAUAAACGGACAAAAUUGCUCCGAUUUUGAGACGACAUUACAGCUUUUUGGCAGCGAUCGCCAAGAAACUGAAUGUGCCACGGAAUUACACCCAAUUAAGAAAGAUAUUUUCUCCCUUCCAGCAGUCAUUAGAAAGCCGUUUUGUCCCCUCAAAAUCGGAUGUAGUUCACACGUUAAGGGUAAUAAACUGAUAAAAAAUGAUUUACAAUUAUCCUGUUGUCAAUAGGUUCUUAUUCACGUAAGCUGGGUCAUAAACUAUUUCUUGCGGCAGAAUCAUGGGGAAGAAGUUGUCCUUCAUUUUAAAAUCGCUGAAAUUGUAGUAACUAAACCUUGAAUGAAACUAUUGUAGGAAGAUUCAUUACUUGACGAGGGAAUUCCGCAUUUAAUUGCACGCGAAAAGCGAUACGCGAAGCGAUGAGUGCGAUAUCGGUUUUUAAGUGCAAUUUAACGCGGAAUUCACGAGCCAAGUAAUGGAUUUUCCUUGAAUCACAUAUUUGAAUAAAAACAAGAUAAAAAGAAAA